UACGGGGGGGGCAAGCGUUGUUCGGAAUUACUGGGCGUAAAGGGCGCGUAGGCGGCCAGCACAAGUCAGUUGUGAAAUCUCCGAGCUUAACUCGGAAAGGUCAACUGAUACUGUGCGGCUAGAGUGCGGAAGGGGCAACUGGAAUUCUUGGUGUAGCGGUGAAAUGCGUAGAUAUCAGGAGGAACACCGGUGGCGAAGGCGGUGAUCUGGGCCGGCACUGACGCUGAGGAGCGAAAGCGUGGGGAGCAAACAGG
rnacentral:rRNA from 1 species